AAAUGUAUAUUUACUUCUAUUUCGUAAUUACAUUUAAUUUACAUAUUUAAAUUAUAAUAAUGUGAUUUAAUGUAAUAAGAUAAUAAUAGUAAUGAUGUCACGUGGCUUCUUUUCGAAUAAUGGUUCUAUGCUGAUGUUGUCAAUAUUGUAUAUUUUCUUAUAUUGUAUAUUUUCAUAUUCGAAUUUUCGAAUUUAUUUAUUUAAUUUUUUAUAUGAAAUGUUAAUAUUACAUUAUAGGCAGUUACAAAAAAAAAAAUAAUAACACGUGUCAUUUUUCGGGAGAAGUUUUUUUGCUGAUGUGGACACCUUAUGGAGUCUCAAAAAAUCUCUUUUGUUAGUAUAGAUUGUAGAUUACUUUUUUAAUGUAGUAUUUUCAUUUUUUAAAUUGUGUACUUACUUAUUAUUAUUUUUCAUAUAUUAUAUAUUUAAAUAUAUAUUUACUCAUAUUUAAUUUUUACAUUUUAAGAUAAAUGUUUAAUGUAGUAUUUUCAUUUUUUAAAUUGUGUACUUACUUAUUAUUAUUUUUUCGUAUAUUAUAUAUUUACAAAUUUAAAUUUACAUUUACUUAUAUUUCGUAUAUUAUAUAUUUAUAUAUUUAAAUGUAUAUUUACUUAUAUUUCGUAUAUUGUAUAUUUAUAUAUUUAAAUGGUAAUAAUGUGAUUUAAUGUAAUAAGGUAAUAAUAGUAGUAAUGAUGCCACGUGGCUUCUUUUCGAAUAAUGAUUUUAUGCUGAUGUGGACGCUCUAUGUUUAUUAUAUAUUUAAUUUUUACAUUUUAAGAUAAAUGUUUAAUGUACUAUUUUCAUUUUUUAAAUUGUGUACUUACUUAUUAUUAUUUUUCAUAUAUUAUAUAUUUAAAUAUAUAUGUACUCAUAUUUAAUUUUUACAUUUUAAGAUAAAUGUUUAAUGUAGUAUUUUCAUUUUUUUAAAUUGUGUACUUACUUAUUAUUAUUUUUCGUAUAUUAUAUAUUUACAAAUUUAAAUUUACAUUUACUUAUAUUUUGUAUAUUAUAUAUUUAUAUAUUUAAAUGUAUAUUUACUUAUAUUUCAUAUAUUGUAUAUUUAUAUAUUUAAAUGGUAAUAAUGUGAUUUAAUGUAAUAAGGUAAUAAUAGUAGUAAUGAUGCCACGUGGCUUCUUUUCGAAUAAUGAUUUUAUGAUGAUGUGGACGCUCUAUGUUUAUUAUAUAUUUAAUUUUUACAUUUUAAGAUAAAUUUUUAAUGUACUAUUUCCAUUUUUUAAAUUGUGUACUUACUUAUUAUUAUUUUUUCGUAUAUUAUAUAUUUACAAAUUUAAAUUUACAUUUACUUAUAUUUCGUAUAUUAUAUAUUUAUAUAUUUAAAUGUAUAUUUACUUAUAUUUCGUAUAUUGUAUAUUUAUAUAUUUAAAUGGUAAUAAUGUGAUUUAAUGUAAUAAGGUAAUAAUAGUAGUAAUGAUGCCAAGUGGCUUCUUUUCGAAUAAUGAUUUUAUGCUGAUGUGGACGCUCUAUGGAGCUUCAAAAGGUUCUUUUUAUUAGUAUAGUAUAUUUAAAUGGUAAUAAUGUGAUUUAAUGUAAUAAGGUAAUAAUAGUAGUAGUGAUGCCACGUGGUUUCUUUUCGAAUAAUGAUUUUAUGCUGAUGUGAACGCUCUAUGGAGCCUCAAAAGGUUUCUUUUAUUAGUAUAGAUUACCCAAAGAAACUACUCCCUCAGACACAACUCAUUGGACACGCAACUCAUUAUACUCUUGAGAGCCUCAUCAUGUUUAUAAGUGAGAAGCCCAAUAUUAUAAUGGGCCUCGUCUCUUUGUAAAAAAAAAAAAAGAUGUUAUUGUGCAAUAUCAAAGAUAAAUAAAGAUGGGUACAAGUUGGAAGUAGUAGAUAAAUACAAGGACCAUUUCCAUAAUUGUACGAAACAUUUCGUAUCACUUUUUCUGGUCUCGUUUAUGAAGGAAGGCAUCGGACCAAAGCAAAAGCAAAAACAUGUAAUCUGUAAGUUGAUGCGAUUUUUCGAACUAUGGCAUCUGCGAUGGCAACAUGGACGCCAAGCUCUCUCCAGCUCAGGAUUGCCCUCAACUGUCGGAGCUUCAAAGCUGCUCCGGCGAGAGCGAAGUUGACGAAGCUCAGGAUUAUCCAGUGGAUUCCAUGAAACUUCUGUUGGUCUGUGAGUUUCAUAUUCCUCCGACGACCGACGACCGGUACCUUAUUUUAAGAGGCUCAGGAGAUUGUUUUGUUAUCAUAUACCGGUACACAAACAUUGGUAUUUGUGAAACCGAGCCGUGUUACUGGUAACAUAAUCAAUCAUGUACUUGCACAAAUUAUCAAAGUAAAAUUGAAAAAAAUAAACUUAUUCGUGA